rnacentral:rRNA from 1 species
UACGUAGGGAGCUAGCGUUGUCCGGAAUCAUUGGGCGUAAAGAGCGUGUAGGCGGCCAAGCAGGUCCGUUGUGAAAACUGGAGGCUUAACCUCCAGACGUCGACGGAAACCGCGUGGCUAGAGUCCGGAAGAGGAGAGUGGAAUUCCUGGUGUAGCGGUGAAAUGCGCAGAUAUCAGGAAGAACACCAAUGGCGAAGGCAGCUCUCUGGGACGGUACUGACGCUGAGACGCGAAAGCGUGGGGAGCAAACAGG